rnacentral:rRNA from 1 species
AUUGAACGCUGGCGGCAUGCUUUACACAUGCAAGUCGAACGGCAGCGCGGGCUUCGGCCUGGCGGCGAGUGGCGAACGGGUGAGUAAUACAUCGGAACGUGCCCAGUAGUGGGGGAUAGCGCGGCGAAAGCCGGAUUAAUACCGCAUAAGACCUGAGGGUGAAAGCGGGGGAGCUUCGGACCUCGCGCUCUUGGAGGGGCCGAUGGCAGAUUGGCGAGUUGGUGGGGUAAAGGCCUACCAAGGCGACGAUCUGUAGCUGGUCUGAGAGGACGACCAGCCACACUGGGACUGAGACACGGCCCAGACUCCUACGGGAGGCAGCAGUGGGGAAUUUUGGACAAUGGGCGAAAGCCUGAUCCAGCAAUGCCGCGUGUGUGAUGAAGGCCUUCGGGUUGUAAAGCACUUUUGGCGGGAACGAAAAGGACUGUGCCAAUACCACGGUUCGAUGACGGUACCCGCAGAAUAAGCACCGGCUAACUACGUG